UACGUAGGGGGCAAGCGUUGUCCGGAUUUAUUGGGCGUAAAGCGCUCGCAGGUGGUUCGUUGCGUCGUGCGUGAAAGACCCCGGCUCAACUGGGGGAUGUCGUGCGAUACGGGCAGGCUAGAGUUCGGUAGGGGAGACUGGAAUUCCUGGUGUAGCGGUGAAAUGCGCAGAUAUCAGGAGGAACACCGGUGGCGAAGGCGGGUCUCUGGGCCGAUACUGACGCUGAGGAGCGAA
rnacentral:rRNA from 1 species